UACAGAGGGGGCAAGCGUUAUUCGGAAUUAUUGGGCGUAAAGGGCGCGUAGGCGGCUUGGCAAGUGGAUGGUGAAAUCCCUCGGCUUAACCGAGGAACUGCCGUCCAAACUGCUUCGCUUGAGACCGGGAGAGGUGAGUGGAAUUCCCAGUGUAGCGGUGAAAUGCGUAGAUAUUGGGAGGAACACCAGUGGCGAAGGCGGCUCACUGGACCGGUACUGACGCUGAGGCGCGAAAAGCGUGGGGAGCAAACAGGG
rnacentral:rRNA from 1 species